UGGGGAAUUUUCCGCAAUGGGCGCAAGCCUGACGGAGCAAUACCGCGUGAGGGAGGAAGGCUCUUGGGUCGUAAACCUCUUUUCUCAGGGAAGAACACAAUGACGGUACCUGAGGAAUAAGCAUCGGCUAACUCCGUGCCAGCAGCCGCGGUAAUACGGAGGAUGCAAGCGUUAUCCGGAAUGAUUGGGCGUAAAGCGUCCGUAGGUGGUUUUGUAAGUCUGUGGUUAAAGCGUGGAGCUCAACUUCAUAACGGCCAUGGAAACUACAAGACUAGAGUGAAGUAGGGGUAGAGGGAAUUCCCAGUGUAGCGGUGAAAUGCGUAGAGAUUGGGAAGAACACCGGUGGCGAAAGCGCUCUACUGCACUUAGACUGACACCGAGGGACGAAAGCUAGGGGAGCCAAAGGGAUUAGAUACCCCUGUAGUC
rnacentral:rRNA from 1 species